rnacentral:lncRNA from 12 species
CUAGAACAGGUUUCUCAGGGAAGUUAUGAAUGUCUUAUCCCUGCAAGUGUUUAAGACCAUUUUGGAUAGAGUUUUGAGCAAACUGACCUAUUGAAACCUGUUCCUGUUCAUGGCAGGAGGGGCUGGAACUAGAUGAUCCUUAAGGUCACUUUCCUAUCCAGGCCAUUCUAUGAUCAUGAUUUUGUGAUUCUAUGAUUCUGUGAUUCUAUGGUUCUAUGAUUCCUGGCUGCCAGGUGGGCCCUGGUAAGUGUGUAGAGAAGGCUGUUGUUGGGCAUGGAACCUCACUGCCAAGUCCACUCUUUGUGUCACAAAAGCUGGCAUCCCUGCUGCAAUAUCUCCCAAGGCUCCAUACCUGUAGGCACAGACAUGUCCAUACUUCCUCCAAAGUAAAACAUCCCUCAGUGCUGCUAAUCAGUGAAACCUGGUCGAAGUCUUUGGUCAGUGAGAAAAAGGAAGCAGCUUAGACACAAGAAAGAAAGAUGCUGCUUUCAUAUGUGACCUCAUCCACAUAGUGCAAAGACAGAUCUCAGCAAGAUGGAUUCCAAACUUCCUGAUGAAAACAAGCAGCCUCGCAGUGAAAACCAACAUUUCAAAAGUUUUCAGACAUCACCUGUGUCUCCAAGGACCAAGAUGGGACAGAAAGAAGUUGCAGACUUCACUUCUCCAAUGGGCAAGAAAGAAUUGGAUAGGCAGACAAAGGAGACUGCUGUAUUCCAUGAAUACAAAUAUCUCAAGCAUCAACAUGUUCUGUGUUCAGAGGACAUAAAAAAUUUGCAGGUGUGUUUGCAGGAGCCAUUGAGAAGACUGGAAGAAAAGAAUGACAAACUUAUAAAGGAAAAAAAAAUAAUAUUGGAAGGAAGAAAAUUAAUCAUACAACAGGAAAAAAUCUUAAAGGACAUGCAGAUAAAAAUAAACCACUUGCACAAGCAGCUCAAGCACCCUGAGCUAAUUGGGUCAAAAAACUCAAAGGAAUUGCAGAUUCCAAUAGAAGCCUUGGGAGUAGGAAGCAGCCAAGAGAGAGAGAUCUACAACUGUCUCAGCUCUCCCGCCCAGAAGAUAGCUAUGGUGAAACGGACCCAGGAAUCUGGCUACCUAAAAAAAUUCUGCUUCUCUCUUGGGAACUCUGUGUGGCUCUUUGUCAGGUACUUACUGUACUGUGUCUGCUUGUGCUUAACACUUCUUUUGGUUUAUAAACACCUUACUGAUCCUACCUGGGCAUAUGAGCUGGACAUACCAGACAGUAUCUGCCAUCAGCCAUGGACACACUAAGCCUAGAAUAUUUCAAAGACUCCAGGCUGGAUUUCUGUAAGGUUGCCAUAUUGCUUCUGGGAAGACCAGCACUCUAAAAUAAAGAAUCUAUAAAUGCUAAAAGCACUUGAUAAUAUCUGUCUUUUCU